CAGCAUUUAACGAGGUUCGGCUAUGCCUACGUCCUCGGAGAGCAGCAGCAGUAACUUUUCACUAUAUAAAAUAAUAUGGCUACAACUUUAGUGUUUACAACAUGUGUGGCUCACUGAAUUUUCUCUCUAGGAGAAUUUCUCUCUGCUCUCUCUUUCCUCUUUCUUCCUUCUCUUCCUCUUGUCUCUUUCCUUUUCUCUCUUUCCUCUUCUCUCUUUCCUCUCUUCUCUUUCCUCUCUUUGUUUCUUUCCGUUUCCCUUUCUCUUCUUUUCUCUUUUCCCUUCUUUCUUUCCUCUUUUCUCUUCUCUUCUAUCUCUCUUCUUUCUUUCCUCUUCUUUGUUUCUUUCCUCUUCUUUUUCCGUUUCUCCCUUUCUCUUCUUUUCUUCUCAUUCCUUUCACUUUGCAGGUUGCCUAUUUAUAGGCAUUGAUAAAUGGCACCCGUGAUGUUUCUAUCCAAUCAUCUUCACUAUUCACUAUUCACCCGUGAAUAAACUCAUGCACCAAAGUCUACAAACAAAUAGUAAGUGGGCUCCACUACUUUAUAUUUUACAACACAAAAUGGGUCCUUCUAAAGUAUAAAAUAAAAAUUCCAAAAGCUUUUGCUAUUUUAACCUUCCCGACCACAUAGUAGUAGAUGUUUUUUUUUAUACUAAACUUUACUGCAACUCACCCGUUUGAACUAGAUAAUUAAUUACUAUAUCAAUUACCCAUGCACGCCUGUAGAUUGGGGUCAGUGACAAUUUAGUUCAUUUCUUUCAAAAAUUAACAAAAACAACCUUAAACUUAUGAAUUCUUACAUUGGUUCCUUCCCAGUUUAACCGUCAAUUUAAUUUUUUCAAAUUUUUUUUUUUUUUUUUUUACAAAUAGACAACAAAUAAAAAAUUACAAACGUGGAAUUGAUCUCGCUUACCCAUGUAAGCAAAAAAUAUGUCAACUUAAGUGUUCAGUAAAAAAAAUGUUGGUUAACAAUGCAUGAUAGUUUGGGGGAGAAAAGGGCCAGUUGUAUCACAAUUGUAAGUUUAAACUUGUUUUUUCCAAUUUUUGAAAGAUAGAGACUAAAGUGUUACAUACCGCAAACCAUCCAAGUAAGAAUAUAAAUUUAUGUGACAAGAAAUGGCAUGAUUAGAAGCUAUUGGUUUUUAUUUUUUAAUUUUUUUUUAAUUUAAGCGAUGGUUUAAAUAAACUACAAGGAGGAGGGACUUUCUCACACUACUGGUGCUAUGAAAGUUUGAACCUAAGACCACUAGUCUAUAAGUCAAUACAUUUUUCUCCUAGACUAGACCUGUUGGCAGAAGAUACUGAUUUAUUAUCAUG
rnacentral:lncRNA from 1 species